rnacentral:rRNA from 1 species
AUCAACGCUGGCGGCGCGCUUAACACAUGCAAGUCGAACGGGAAAGUGGGGCAACCCAUGAGUAGAGUGGCGUACGGGUGAGUAACACGUGGAUGAUCUACCUCUUAGUGGGGAAUAACCCUGGGAAACCGGGGCUAAUACCGCAUAAGCACGGAAGUGGAAAGCAGCAAUGCGCUGGGAGAGGAGUCCGCGGCCGAUUAGCUAGUUGGUGAGGUAAGAGCCCACCAAGGCAAAGAUCGGUAGCCGGCCUGAGAGGGCACACGGCCACACUGGCACUGAAACACGGGCCAGACUCCUACGGGAGGCAGCAGUGGGGAAUCUUGCACAAUGGGGGAAACCCUGAUGCAGCGACGCCGCGUGAGCGAUGAAGCCCUUCGGGGUGUAAAGCUCUUUCGGCAGGGAAGAAAAUGACGGUACCUGCAGAAGCAGCUGCGGCUAACUACGUGCCAGCAGCCGCGGUAAUACGUAGGCAGCAAGCGUUGUUCGGAGUUACUGGGCGUAAAGGGUGUGUAGGCGGUUGCUUAAGUUUGGUAGUGAAAUCUCCCGGCUCAACUGGGAGGGUGCGCCGAAUACUGAGUGACUCGAGUGCGGGAGAGGAGAGUGGAAUUCCUGGUGUAGCGGUGAAAUGCGUAGAUAUCAGGAGGAACACCGGUGGUGUAGACGGCUCUCUGGACCGUAACUGACGCUGAAGACACGAAAGCGUGGGUAGCAAACAGGAUUAGAUACCCUGGUAGUCCACGCCCUAAACGAUGCAUAUUUGGUGUGGGCAGUUCAUUCUGUCCGUGCCGGAGCUAACGCGUUAAAUAUGCCGCCUGGGGAGUACAGUCGCAAGGCUGAACUCAAAGGAAUUGACGGGGGCCCGCACAAGCGGUGGAGCAUGUGGUUCAAUUCGACGCAACGCGAAGAACCUUACCUGGGCUCGAACGGCUGGUCAACGGAGGUGGAAACAUCUUUACCCCGCAAGGGGGUCCAGUCGAGGUGCUGCAUGGCUGUCGUCAGCUCGUGUCGUGAGAUGUUGGGUUAAGUCCCGCAACGAGCGCAACCUCUGUCCUGUUGUUGCCAUCAUUGAGAUGGGCACUCUAAGCGAGACUGCCGACGUCAAGUCUGGAGGAAGGUGGAGGAUGACGUCAAGUCCUCAUGGCCCUUUAUGUCCAGGGCUACACACGUGCUACAAUGGGCGGUACAAAGGGUUGCUAAACCCGCGAGGUGGAGCCAAUCGCCAAAAACGCUUCUCAGUUCGGAUUGUAGGCUGCAACUCGACUAGCAUGAAGCUGGAAUCGCUAGUAAUCGGCAGAUCAGCACGCUGCCGUGAAUACGUUCCCGGGCCUUGUACACACCGCCCGUCACAUCACGAAGUGGAGUUGCUACUAGAAGUCGUGCGCGCUGACCCGCAGGGAGGUAGCCGGCCUAAAGAGUGACUGAUUAUACUGGGG